GAGUUUGAUCAUGGCUCAGAACGAACGCUGGCGGCAGGCCUAACACAUGCAAGUCGAGCGAGAUCUUCGGGUCUAGCGGCGGACGGGUGAGUAACGCGUGGGAACGUGCCCUUUGCUACGGAAUAGCCUCGGGAAACUGGGAGUAAUACCGUAUGUGCCCUUCGGGGGAAAGAUUUAUCGGCAAAGGAUCGGCCCGCGUUGGAUUAGGUAGUUGGUGAGGUAACGGCUCACCAAGCCGACGAUCCAUAGCUGGUUUGAGAGGAUGAUCAGCCACACUGGGACUGAGACACGGCCCAGACUCCUACGGGAGGCAGCAGUGGGGAAUCUUAGACAAUGGGGGAAACCCUGAUCUAGCCAUGCCGCGUGAGCGAUGAAGGCCUUAGGGUUGUAAAGCUCUUUCAGCUGGGAAGAUAAUGACGGUACCAGCAGAAGAAGCCCCGGCUAACUCCGUGCCAGCAGCCGCGGUAC
rnacentral:rRNA from 1 species